UCCAAGGGGCGUGGUUUGAGUGCGAUGCGGAAGUACACGAGACUGGUUGCACUCAACAAGCAGACGCGAACCGUAUUUUUUUUCCCCCAUUUCUUUUUAUUUAAAUACUUUCGACACCUGAAUCAUGAAAUAAAGUGAUUAAUAUCGACCUUGGAAUAUGUAUAAAUGGCGUUAACACAUUUCCGUGCAAAAUUAAGUUGUAGUGUCACAUUGCCUCCAGAGGAUGGCGGCAUGAAACGAUGGAUUUUCUCCGGGCACUCCGAAAACAUUGGAGACUAAAUUGCCCGUGGAUGUGAUUGUGAGCGUGCUGUUGUUUGUCUCUGUGGAAACCAGUUCAGGCUGUACCCCACGUCCUCCAUGAAAAUAGCAGGGAAAUGCCCCAACACACCCGUAACCCUCGUGAGGAUAGGCGGCUCAGAAAAUGGAUGCACGUACAGGUACAGCCUUCCAUGAACAUCCAUAUUUUUAGAACGUGGGAGGAAAGUGGACUUGAGUAUGAGCUGACUUUGGACGUGAGCUCCGGAAGAGUUCCGUAAAGUCAAGUUUGCGUGAGAGCUGCCGUGGAGGACGCACUUUGGGGGUGCGGGAAUCCAAAAUGGGGGAGCAGGCGAGGACUGUGGGUGUGGUUAGAGACAAGA